rnacentral:rRNA from 1 species
UGAGCAAUCUGCCCUUCACUUCGGGAUAACUCCGGGAAACCGGUGCUAAUACCGAAUACGACCACUUCAGGCAUCUGAUGGUGGUGGAAAGUUCCGGCGGUGAAGGAUGAGCUCGCGGCCUAUCAGCUAGUUGGUGUGGGUAACGGCCCACCAAGGCGACGACGGGUAGCCGGCCUGAGAGGGUGACCGGCCACACUGGGACUGAGACACGGCCCAGACUCCUACGGGA